CACUGAACGGAAGAAAUACACAGAUGAAAGUAUAAGUGACGACGAACUUGAAGGAAAGAGGACUUUUGAUUUGGAAGACAAACUUACGAGCAGCAAAUAUGAUAACACAAAAUUCAUCAAAGAAAUGAAGGGGGAUGAAAUCAGUCUUAAGUACAUCCAAGAGCAUGGAUUGACUGAACCAAUUCUUGUGAAGGAGAAGACAGGGUUAGGCAUGAGGUUACCAAGUAAUAAUUUUCAAGUCAGUGAUGUGAAGCAGUGUGUUGG